rnacentral:rRNA from 1 species
AGAGUUUGAUCAUGGCUCAGGAUGAACGCUAGCGGCAGGCUUAAUACAUGCAAGUCGUGGGGCAGCAUGGUGUAGCAAUACACUGAUGGCGACCGGCAAACGGGUGCGGAACACGUACGCAACCUUCCUUUAACUGGAGAAUAGCCCGGGGAAACCCGGAUUAAUACUCCGUAACAUUAUGAAGUGGCAUCACUUUAUAAUUAUAGCUCCGGCGGUUGAAGAUGGGCGUGCGUCUGAUUAGGUAGUUGGCGGGGUAACGGCCCACCAAGCCUACGAUCAGUAACUGGUGUGAGAGCACGACCAGUCACACGGGCACUGAGACACGGGCCCGACUCCUACGGGAGGCAGCAGUAAGGAAUAUUGGUCAAUGGACGCAAGUCUGAACCAGCCAUGCCGCGUGGAGGAUGAAGGUCCUCUGGAUUGUAAACUUCUUUUAUUUGGGAAGAAACCCCCGAUUUCUAUUGGGGUUGACGGUACCAGAUGAAUAAGCACCGGCUAACUCCGUGCCAGCAGCCGCGGUAAUACGGAGGGUGCAAGCGUUAUCCGGAUUCACUGGGUUUAAAGGGUGCGUAGGCGGGUUGGUAAGUCCGUGGUGAAAUCUCCAAGCUUAACUUGGAAACUGCCGUGGAUACUAUCAAUCUUGAAUAUAGUGGAGGUGAGCGGAAUAUGUCAUGUAGCGGUGAAAUGCUUAGAUAUGACAUAGAACACCCAUUGCGAAGGCAGCUCGCUACACUAUUAUUGACGCUGAGGCACGAAAGCGUGGGGAUCAAACAGGAUUAGAUACCCUAGUAGUCC